CUAUGUUCUAUUAUUAGCCGUGGCAGCCAUUUUGGUUGGUUGGCCGGGUCACGCCACACAUUUUUUAAACAAGUUACCCCUAUGAUGAUUGUGGCCAAGUUUAGUUUAAUUUGGCCCAGUAGUUUCAGAGAAGAAGAUUUUUGUAAAAGAUUACUAGGAUUUACGAAAAAAUGGUUAGAAAUUGACUAUAAAGGGCAAUAACUCCUAAAGGGGUCAACUGACCAUUUUGGUCAUGCUGACUUAUUUGUAAAUCUUACUUUGCUGAACAUUAUUGCUGUUUACAGUUUAUCUCUAUCUAUAAUAAUAUUCAAG
rnacentral:lncRNA from 1 species